GCGGAUGUGGCGGAAUUGGCAGACGCGCUAGCUUCAGGUGCUAGUUAGAGCAAUCUAGUGCAGGUUCAAGUCCUGUCAUCCGCACCA
rnacentral:tRNA from 1 species